rnacentral:rRNA from 1 species
AGGACGAACGCUGGCGGCGUGCUUAACACAUGCAAGUCAAGGGGGCCCAGCAAUGGGCAACCGGCGAACGGGUGCGUAACACGUGAGCAACCUACCGAAAUGUGGGGGAUAGCCGGCCUAACGGCCGAGUAAUACCGCAUACGCUCUCGAUGAGGCAUUUCAUUGAGAGGAAACCUACGGGACAUUUCGAGGGGCUCGCGGCCUAUCAGCUAGUUGGCGAGGUAACGGCUCACCAAGGCGACGACGGGUAGCUGGUCUGAGAGGAUGGCCAGCCACAUUGGGACUGAGAUACGGCCCAGACUCCUACGGGAGCGAGCAGUGGGGAAUCGUGCGCAAGUGGCCUAACGGCUGAACGCACGGCGACGCCGGCGUGGUAGGAUGAAGCUCUUCGGAGUUAGUAAACUACGUGUUCGCCGGGAACGAAGUAGCUCGUAAUUAA